GAUGAACGCUGGCGGCGUGCCUAAUACAUGCAAGUCGAGCGAACAGACGAGGAGCUUGCUCCUCUUACGUUAUCGGCGGACGAGUGAGUAACACGUGGGUAACCUACCUAUAAGACUGGGGUAACUUCCGGAAACCAACGCUAGUACCUAAUAAUAUAUUUAACAGCAUGGUUCAAUAGUUAAAGACAAAUUUGCUGUCUCUUAGUAAUCUAUCGGCGACUGAUGAGCUGGUGGGUAAUGUAACGGCUUACCAAGGCAAAGAUGAGUAACCGGACUGAGAGGAUGGACGGCCACACUGGAACUGCGACACGGUCCAGACGCCUACGGGAGGCAGCAGUGGGGAAUGUUCCGCAAUGGGCGAAAGCCUGACGGAGCAACGCCGCGUGAGUGAUGACGGCCUUCGGGUUGUAAAACUCUGUGAUCCGGGACGAAAAGGCAGAGUGCGAAGAACAAACUGCAUUGACGGUACCGGAAAAGCAAGCCACGGCUAACUACGUG
rnacentral:rRNA from 1 species